UGGGGAAUAUUGGGCAAUGGGGGAAACCCUGACCCAGCAACGCCGCGUGAAGGAAGAAGGUUUUCGGAUUGUAAACUUCUGUCCUUGGUGAAGAGGAAGAGACGGUAGCCAAGGAGGAAGCCCCGGCUAACUACGUGCCAGCAGCCGCGGUAAUACGUAGGUGGCGAGCGUUGUCCGGAAUUACUGGGCGUAAAGGGCGCGUAGGCGGCUUUUUAAGUGAGAUGUGAAAACCCGGGGCUUAACUCCGGGCGUGCAUUUAAAACUGGAGAGCUUGAGUGCAGGAGAGGUAAGUGGAAUUCCUAGUGUAGCGGUGAAAUGCGUAGAUAUUAGGAGGAACACCAGUGGCGAAGGCGACUUACUGGACUGUAACUGACGCUGAGGCGCGAAAGCGUGGGGAGCAAACAGG
rnacentral:rRNA from 1 species